GUCAUAGCUCAACUGGGAGCAUGAGACUCUUAAUCUCAGGGCAUGGAUUGGAACCCCAUGAUGGGCA